GCGAAAAGCUCCGGGGAGGCGGCAAAUAUCCUUUGAUCCGGAGAUGUCUGAAUGGGGGAACCCACCUACUUUAAGGUAGGUAUUGCAACAUGAAUACAUAGUGUUGCAAGGCGAACGAGGGGAAGUGAAACAUCUCAGUACCCUUAGGAAAAGAAAUCAAUUGAGAUUCCCUCAGUAGCGGCGAGCGAACGGGGAUCAGCCCAUUAAGUUAUGUGUGUUUUAGUGGAACGCUCUGGGAAGUGCGAACGUAGAGGGUGAUAUUCCCGUACACGAAAGGGCACACAUAAUGAUGACGAGUAGGGCGAGGCACGUGAAACCUUGUCUGAAUAUGGGGGGACCAUCCUCCAAGGCUAAAUACUCCUGACUGACCGAUAGUGAACCAGUACCGUGAGGGAAAGGCGAAAAGAACCCCUGUGAGGGGAGUGAAAUAGAUCCUGAAACCGCAUGCAUACAAGCAGUGGGAGCACCUUCGUGGUGUGACUGCGUACCUUUUGUAUAAUGGGUCAGCGACUUAUAUUCAGUAGCAAGGUUAACCGUAUAGGGGAGCCGUAGAGAAAUCGAGUCUUAAUAGGGCGUUUAGUUGCUGGGUAUAGACCCGAAACCAGGCGAUCUAUCCAUGAGCAGGUUGAAGGUUGGGUAACACUAACUGGAGGACCGAACCCACUGUCGUUGAAAAGCCAGGGGAUGACUUGUGGAUAGGGGUGAAAGGCUAAUCAAGCCUGGUGAUAGCUGGUUCUCCCCGAAAGCUAUUUAGGUAGCGCCUCGGACGAAUACCAUAGGGGGUAGAGCACUGUUUCGGCUAGGGGGUCAUCCCGACUUACCAAACCGAUGCAAACUCCGAAUACCUAUGUGUACUAUCCGGGAGACAGACUGCGGGUGCUAACGUCCGUAGUCAAGAGGAAAACAAUCCAGACCGCCAGCUAAGGCCCCAAAAUCAUAGUUAAGUGGGAAACGAUGUGGGAAGGCAUAGACAGCUAGGAGGUUGGCUUAGAAGCAGCCACCCUUUAAAGAAAGCGUAAUAGCUCACUAGUCGAGUCGGCCUGCGCGGAAGAUGUAACGGGGCUAAAACUAUGUGCCGAAGCUGCGGAUGUAUACUUUGUAUACGUGGUAGGGGAGCGUUCUGUAAGCCGAUGAAGGUGUGUUGAGAAGCAUGCUGGAGGUAUCAGAAGUGCGAAUGCUGACGUGAGUAACGACAAAACGGGUGAAAAACCCGUUCGCCGAAAGACCAAGGGUUCCAGUCCAACGUUAAUCGGGGCUGGGUGAGUCGACCCCUAAGGCGAGGCCGAAAGGCGUAGUCGAUGGGAAAAUGGUUAAUAUUCCAUUACUUCUGUGUAAUGCGAUGAGAGGACGGAGAAGGCUAAAUCAGCCUGGCGUUGGUUGUCCAGGUGAAAGGAUGUAGGCAUGUAUCUUAGGCAAAUCCGGGGUACUCUAUGCUGAGAUCUGAUAGCAAGCUGUACUUGUACAGCGAAGUGGUUGAUGCCAUGCUUCCAGGAAAAGUCUCUAAGCUUCAGUUACACAGGAAUCGUACCCGAAACCGACACAGGUGGUCAGGUCGAGUAGACCAAGGCGCUUGAGAGAACUCUGCUGAAGGAACUAGGCAAAAUGGUACCGUAACUUCGGGAGAAGGUACGCUGUUGUUGGUGAUGGAACUCGCUUCCUGAGCUGACGACAGCCGCAGAAACCAGGCCGCUGCAACUGUUUAUUAAAAACAUAGCACUCUGCAAACACGAAAGUGGACGUAUAGGGUGUGAUGCCUGCCCGGUGCUGGAA
rnacentral:rRNA from 1 species